rnacentral:rRNA from 1 species
GACAGAGGGUGCAAACGUUGCUCGGAAUCACUGGGCGUAAAGGGCGUGUAGGCGGAUAGGCAAGUCAGACGUGAAAUCCCCAGGCUCAACCUGGGAACGCCAUUUGAAACUGCCUGUCUUGAGUGUCGGAGAGGAAAGCGGAAUUCCUGGUGUAGAGGUGAAAUUCGUAGAUAUCAGGAGGAACACCGGUGGCGAAGGCGGCUUUCUGGACGACAACUGACGCUGAGACGCGAAAGCGUGGGUAGCAAACAGG